rnacentral:rRNA from 1 species
GACGAACGCUGGCGGCGUGCCUAAUACAUGCAAGUCGAGCGAAUCAAUAGGAGCUUGCUCCUGUUGAUUAGCGGCGGACGGGUGAGUAACACGUGGGCAACCUGCCUGUAAGACUGGAAUAACACCGGGAAACCGGUGCUAAUACCGGAUAAUCCUUUUCCUCUCAUGAGGGAAAGCUGAAAGUCGGUUUCGGCUGACACUUACAGAUGGGCCCGGGGCGCAUUAGCUAGUUGGUGAGGUAACGGCUCACCAAGGCGACGAUGCGUAGCCGACCUGAGAGGGUGAUCGGCCACACUGGGACUGAGACACGGCCCAGACUCCUACGGGAGGCAGCAGUAGGGAAUCUUCCACAAUGGACGAAAGUCUGAUGGAGCAACGCCGCGUGAGCGAUGAAGGCCUUCGGGUCGUAAAGCUCUGUUGUUAGGGAAGAACAAGUACCGGAGUAACUGCCGGUACCUUGACGGUACCUAACCAGAAAGCCACGGCUAACUACGUGCCAGCAGCCGCCGUAA